CCGGUGUGAGUAGCGAAAGACGGGUGAGAAUCCCGUCCACCGAUUGACUAAGGUUUCCAGAGGAAGGCUCGUCCGCUCUGGGUUAGUCGGGUCCUAAGCUGAGGCCGACAGGCGUAGGCGAUGGAUAACAGGUUGAUAUUCCUGUACCACCAUUAUUCGUUUUAAGCGAUGGGGGGACGCAGUAGGAUAGGCGAAGCGUGCUGUUGGAGUGCACGUCCAAGCAGUGAGAUUGAGUGUUAGGCAAAUCCGGCACUCUUAAGAUUGAGCUGUGAUGGGGAGAGGAACUUGUUCCUCGAGUCGUUGAUUUCACACUGCCGAGAAAAGCCUCUAGCUAGAAUAACGGUGCCCGUACCGCAAACCGACACAGGUAGUCAAGAUGAGAAUUCUAAGGUGAGCGAGCGAACUCUCGUUAAGGAACUCGGCAAAAUGACCCCGUAACUUCGGGAGAAGGGGUGCUCUUUGAGGUUCACGCUUCGAAGAGCCGCAGUGAAUAGGCCCAAGCGACUGUUUAUCAAAAACACAGGUCUCUGCUAAACCGUAAGGUGACGUAUAGGGGCUGACGCCUGCCCGGUGCUGGAAGGUUAAGAGGAGUGGUUAGCGCAAGCGAAGCUACGAAUCGAAGCCCCAGUAAACGGCGGCCGUAACUAUAACGGUCCUAAGGUAGCGAAAUUCCUUGUCGGGUAAGUUCCGACCCGCACGAAAGGCGUAACGAUUUGGGCACUGUCUCAACGAGAGACUCGGUGAAAUCAUAGUACCGGUGAAGAUGCCGGUUACCCGCGACAGGACGGAAAGACCCCGUGGAGCUUUACUGUAGCCUGAUAUUGAAAUUCGGUACAGUUUGUACAGGAUAGGUAGGAGCCUUAGAAGCGUGAGCGCUAGCUUACGUGGAGGCAUUGGUGGGAUACUACCCUAAUUGUAUUGGAUUUCUAACCCGCAGCACUUAUCGUGCUGGGAGACAGUGUCAGGCGGGCAGUUUGACUGGGGCGGUCGCCUCCUAAAGAGUAACGGAGGCGCUCAAAGGUUCCCUCAGAAUGGUUGGAAAUCAUUCAUAGAGUGUAAAGGCAUAAGGGAGCUUGACUGCGAGACCUACAAGUCGAGCAGGGUCGAAAGACGGACUUAGUGAUCCGGUGGUUCCGCAUGGAAGGGCCAUCGCUCAACGGAUAAAAGCUACCCCGGGGAUAACAGGCUUAUCUCCCCCAAGAGUUCACAUCGACGGGGAGGUUUGGCACCUCGAUGUCGGCUCAUCGCAUCCUGGGGCUGUAGUCGGUCCCAAGGGUUGGGCUGUUCGCCCAUUAAAGCGGUACGCGAGCUGGGUUCAGAACGUCGUGAGACAGUUCGGUCCCUAUCCGUCGUGGGCGUAGGAAAUUUGAGAGGAGCUGUCCUUAGUACGAGAGGACCGGGAUGGACAUACCUCUGGUGUACCAGUUGUCGUGCCAACGGCAUAGCUGGGUAGCUAUGUAUGGACGGGAUAAGUGCUGAAAGCAUCUAAGCAUGAAGCCCCCCUCGAGAUGAGAUUUCCCAACUUCGGUUAUAAGAUCCCUCAAAGAUGAUGAGGUGAAUAGGUUCGAGGUGGAAGCGUAGUGAUACGUGGAGCUGACGAAUACUAAUCGAUCGAAGACUUAAUCAA
rnacentral:rRNA from 1 species